CCUACGGGUGGCAGCAGUCGAGAAUAAUUCACAAUGGGGGAAACCCUGAUGGAGCGACGCCGCGUGGGGGAAUGAAGGUCUGCGGAUUGUAAACCCCUGUCAUGUGGGAGCAAAUUAAAAAGAUAGUACCACAAGAGGAAGAGACGGCUAACUCUGUGCCAGCAGCCGCGGUAAUACAGAGGUCUCAAGCGUUGUUCGGAAUCACUGGGCGUAACGCGUGCGUAGGCUGUUUCGUAAGUCGUGUGUGAAAGGCGCGGGCUCAACCCGCGGACGGCACAUGAUACUGCGAGACUAGAGUAAUGGAGGGGGAACCGGAAUUCUCGGUGUAGCCGUGAAAUGCGUAGAUAUCGAGAGGAACACUCGUGGCGAAGGCGGGUUCCUGGACAUUACCUGACGCUGAGGCACGAAGGCCUGGGGAGCGAACGGGAUUAGAUACCCUAGUAGUC
rnacentral:rRNA from 1 species